rnacentral:lncRNA from 1 species
CAUAUUCCAGAGAUGGUCCCCAUUGGAGGGGCAGGGAGGAAGAGCUCAACCAGCUGCCUCCCACCGUCGUGUCUAUGUGAAGUCUGCACAUUAGCCAACAGACAGCAGACCAGUGCUAACUCUCCUGUGCAUCAGAAGCUCUCAGUCAAGUUCUACUAAUUGCUAAAUCAUCCUUCAUGACUUCUCAUUCUCCAUUCAAACACUGGAAUUUUCAUGUCUGCCUCUUGCUCCCCAUUCCUCGGAACUCUGAGCCCUGAAAUUUUUCCAGGGGGAGUGUGGGUGUUUGGAAAAGUGCCAGGGCUCAGGCUGGAGAAACAGGAGCUCCUCUUAAGGGUGCAGGCCCGAGUUCAGAGGGCUUUCCUGAUGUUUUUUCUGGAAGCUACAAAGGUGACCACAAAGUUAGGGAGGGUCUCCGAGGCCAGCUUCUGUCCCGCUGCCACUGAAAGUCACCAGGGGCAAAGAGGCAGAAAAGGAAAGAUCCCUGAUCUUGGAAUUUCUAUUCUUGGCCCCAUCUCUCGUCUGCUGCGUGGCUUCAGGGCGUUGGGAGCCCCAGAUUCUGAUUCUCCCCAGAACGCUGACAGUGACCGAGGCCUGUCUCUGAUGCUGGGUGAGUUCCUGC